AUAUUUACCUGUCAGGGGAGAUACCAGGAUCACAAAGGUGGUUUUCCCAGGGACAGGUUCAUCCAUUGCAGUCUGGGUGUGCUGAUCCCAGCGAUUUCCUCAAGUGUGGGGAAUUGGACUCUAUAAUUUAUGGUAGUGGGGGACUGCAUUUCUGCUUUCCCCUG
ensembl:snRNA U1 U1 spliceosomal RNA